CUGGCGGCAGGCUUACACAUGCAAGUCGAACGGGCGUGGCAAUACGUCAGUGGCASACGGGUGAGUAACGCGUGGGAACGUACCUUUUGGUUCGGAACAACACAGGGAAACUUGUGCUAAUACCGGAUAAGCCCUUACGGGGAAAGAUUUAUCGCCGAAAGAUCGGCCCGCGUCUGAUUAGCUAGUUGGUGAGGUAACGGCUCACCAAGGCGACGAUCAGUAGCUGGUCUGAGAGGAUGAUCAGCCACAUUGGGACUGAGACACGGCCCAAACUCCUACGGGAGGCAGCAGUGGGGAAUAUUGGACAAUGGGCGAAAGCCUGAUCCAGCCAUGCCGCGUGAGUGAUGAAGGCCCUAGGGUUGUAAAGCUCUUUUGUGCGGGAAGAUAAUGACGGUACCGCAAGAAUAAGCCCCGGCUAACUUCGUGCCAGCAGCCGCGGUAAUACGAAGGGGGCUAGCGUUGCUCGGAAUCACUGGGCGUAAAGGGUGCGUAGGCGGGUCUUUAAGUCAGGGGUGAAAUCCUGGAGCUCAACUCCAGAACUGCCUUUGAUACUGAAGAUCUUGAGUUCGGGAGAGGUGAGUGGAACUGCGAGUGUAGAGGUGAAAUUCGUAGAUAUUCGCAAGAACA
rnacentral:rRNA from 1 species